GUCGACUGCGGACGUCCAACUAUAUCAAAUGGUCAUUUUCAAGUCCACAAAACCAUUGGGGGCAGCAGAGCAACCGUCCAAUGUAAUCGCUUCUUCCAGUUUUUUCGGAGGACGUAGCACAGCGACCUGCAAAUCAAAUGGACAAUGGGAGGGAGUUGAUGGAACAUGCGAACAGGUGGAAUGGAUAAAUCAGUUUUGAAAUAAAAUUAACGAAUCAACAGAAUAUCUAUAUGGCCAUGAUCGUGAGCUUUGAUCAAUACAGGUUACUUGCUAUUUAAAUGCAAUUUACGAUUUCACAGUGAUGUCACCUGAAGAGAUUACAGAAGUCCAGAUCCUAGAUGGUACCACAAUUGAAAAACUAUUAAUCACAUAUAACUAAGAAACGAAGUUCUAGAUGGUACCACAAUUGAAAAACUAUUAAUCACAUAUAACUAACAAACGAAAUCCUAGAUGGUACCACAAUUGAAAAACUCUUAAUCACAUAUAACUAACAAACGAAAUCCUAGAUGAUAUCACAAUUGAAAAACUAUUAAUCACAUAUAACUAACAAACGA